rnacentral:rRNA from 1 species
GACGAACGCUGGCGGCGUGCUUAACACAUGCAAGUCGAACGGAAAGGCCCUGCUUUUGUGGGGUGCUCGAGUGGCGAACGGGUGAGUAACACGUGAGUAACCUGCCCUUGACUUUGGGAUAACUUCAGGAAACUGGGGCUAAUACCGGAUAGGAGCUCCUGCUGCAUGGGGGGGGUGGGAAAGUUUCGGCGGUUGGGGAUGGACUCGCGGCUUAUCAGCUUGUUGGUGGGGUAGUGGCUUACCAAGGCUUUGACGGGUAGCCGGCCUGAGAGGGUGACCGGCCACAUUGGGACUGGGAUACGGCCCAGACUCCUACGGGAGGCAGCAGUGGGGAUUAUUGCACACUGGGCGGAAGCCUGAUGCAGCAACGCCGCGUGCUGGAUGACGGCCUUCGGGUUGUAAACCGCUUUCGCCUGUGACGAAGCGUGAGUGACGGUAAUGGGUAAAGAAGCACCGGCUAACUACGUG